UGGGGAAUUUUGGACAAUGGGGGAAACCCUGAUCCAGCCAUCCCGCGUGUGCGAUGAAGGCCUUCGGGUUGUAAAGCACUUUUGGCAGGAAAGAAACGUCGCGGGUUAAUACCCCGCGAAACUGACGGUACCUGCAGAAUAAGCACCGGCUAACUACGUGCCAGCAGCCGCGGUAAUACGUAGGGUGCAAGCGUUAAUCGGAAUUACUGGGCGUAAAGCGUGCGCAGGCGGUCCGGAAAGAAAGAUGUGAAAUCCCAGAGCUUAACUUUGGAACUGCAUUUUUAACUACCGGGCUAGAGUGUGUCAGAGGGAGGUGGAAUUCCGCGUGUAGCAGUGAAAUGCGUAGAUAUGCGGAGGAACACCGAUGGCGAAGGCAGCCUCCUGGGAUAACACUGACGCUCAUGCACGAAAGCGUGGGGAGCAAACAGGAUUAGAUACCCUGGUAGUCCACGCCCUAAACGAUGUCAACUAGCUGUUGGGGCCUUCGGGCCUUGGUAGCGCAGCUAACGCGUAAGUUGACCGCCUGGGGAGUACGGUCGCAAGAUUAAAACUUAAAGGAAUUG
rnacentral:rRNA from 1 species